UCAAGUGCGACCCUGUAGUGAUGGCGCUA
rnacentral:piRNA from 1 species